UUUCUUUUUCCUCGCAUUACCAAGUCUAAUGAAAUUUUCAAAACUAAGUGAUCUUUGUCUUGUACACAUACCCAAUCAUCAGUCGGUAGGUAGGGUGAAGUAGCCGUAUCGCCUUCGGGAACAAAGGGAACUUGAUCGUUGUCUUUAGGCCUUCCCACCAGUCUCUCUCUUUCCCAAACCGGUGUCACCGUCGGCAUAUUCUUUCCGCCGGCCAACUCUGUCAAGGCGCACAUGAUAUGUCCCUCUCCAAAUCCAUCGCACAUUGAAUGCGGCAGAGCAACCCCCAAGAUGAAUCCUCCACAUUUAAAGUUGGUCACCUGUCAACAUCAUUGGUAUUUCACUUCGUAAAUUAAGCCAGCCAACAAGAGAAGUUUUAAGGUAUUAGGGACGACCUUUUCAAAUUUUUUCACUAAAGGGUUUUACUUUGUAGUUUACUGUUUCACGAAAAGAUUAUUAUUUUCUUCCACGAUUAUUUACUAAAAAUCGAUCUAUGGGAAAAUACUUCAUAUCUCUAUAAUAUUGUUUGGAAAAUAAGUUUAAUACGCGUAGAUCUAGAUCUCACGUUAGUCCAAACAACGGUUAAUUACAAAAGUCAAUUAAUUUAAAAUAUAAAAAAUAUUAUAUCUAAUGUCAAUAUUAAAAUUUCUAUUUAUUUUUCAUUUUUAAUAGUUUUCGGUCAGAUUUUAAGUUUAACUAGUUGAUCCUGCACCUUGUACGGAUUAAUAUAUCUAUGUUCCUAAAUUUUUUUAAUUAUAAUAUUUAUUUUUAUAAAAAUAAUAAUUAAAUUUGAUAAAAAUUUAAAUUAUUAUAAACUAUAUAACUUCAAUAUUUAUAUUGGUUACCAAUGUAUUAAAUUAUGUUCUUUUGUUUCAUAGUUUUAUUUAUGUGAUGUAGAUUUUGGAUCAAAAUCUUUUCUAUAGUAAUAAUUAAAUUAGGAAAGUUGUAUUUGAAACUAAACACAUAUCGUAUGCGGACUGAAAACAAAUAAUGUGGCACUGAAAUGAUUAAAUAAAAUCACAACUAUAAAACAUCAAAAAAUAACGAUUGUCUAGGAGCGUUCAAUCCGGUAAAGCAGAGCCAUUUAAAACUGAACCAAACCAAAAUAGAGAAAAUAGUACCGAAUCAACCGACGGAUGUUAUAUAGAUAUGGUUCAGUAUAUUAAACGAUCAAACUGAACAAACCAAAGACACCGAUUAAUUCAAAUAUCUUAGUAUACUUAUAUAUAAAUUUUAUAAUAAUCUAUAUUUGAACAAUAUUUUCAAUAAUAAUUAGAGAAACUGGCUAUAGUCAUUAAAAUCAUAAAAUAAAUAUAAGAUAAAAAGUAAUGAUGAUAUUCUCAUUAGAUAUUGUUAAUAUCAAUUGUUAAUAUCUAUUUAUUAAUUAAUAGUCCUAAAUAUCAUGAUAAUUGUAUAUUAAAAUAUAUUUUAAAAAAUAAAAGUAUAUAUAUCAAUAUAAUAUGUUAAUAUUUAUGUUUUUUAUAAAAUAUUUAGUUGUAGCUAUUUUCAUGCAUGUAAUGGUCGUCCCUAUAUGAAACAUAUCGCUUAUGUACCUGCAACGCAAAAGGUGGAUAACCAUCCUUAUCCACUUGAACCUCUGGCAAAAACUUCAAGGCCAUAUCUGAGUCAAUGUUCUCUAGAUACUUCAAAGAAGAAAGCUCUACGUUAGCAGUAGCCACCGUGAACGCCACACCGCCCCCGUCGCUGCCACAACUCAGCUGAAGCUUCCGAUCAGUGUCCCUCCGCUUCAAAGUCCCUGAAAGUGGGUAGUAGUAGCCAAGAAGAACAGACAAAGCCUCCCUAACCAAAUAAUCCGGCUGGUUAUCAUCAUAACCGACGUUCCUGGGUUUGAAAACGUAACACAUCUUGUACAUAACUUCGUUGUAAGGAGCAUUGUCAAGUGUUGAAAGGGUAAGAGUAUGUGAAGGUAUGAGUUUCGGGGGUUUCACCAUUUCGGUGAGUUUUUUCUUGACCAUUAAAGGGAUCGAUGAGCUUUUUUGAGUUCUAAGCUUUAUUAAAACAUUCCUAAAGAAAAGAGUAUUUAUAAUACUUUAAGAUUCUCCAGGGAUCUCCAGUUUCUUUUUCCUCGCAUUACCAAGUCUAAUGAAAUUUUCAAAACUAAGUGAUCUUUGUCUUGUACACAUACCCAAUCAUCAGUCGGUAGGUAGGGUGAAGUAGCCGUAUCGCCUUCGGGAACAAAGGGAACUUGAUCGUUGUCUUUAGGCCUUCCCACCAGUCUCUCUCUUUCCCAAACCGGUGUCACCGUCGGCAUAUUCUUUCCGCCGGCCAACUCUGUCAAGGCGCACAUGAUAUG
rnacentral:lncRNA from 1 species